rnacentral:rRNA from 1 species
UCGAGAAUUUUUCACAAUGGGCGCAAGCCUGAUGGAGCGACGCCGCGUGGGGGAUGAAUGGCUUCGGCCCGUAAACCCCUGUCAUUUGCGAACAAAUUGCUUAACCUAACACGUGGAGCAUUGAUAGUAGCGAAAGAGGAAGGGACGGCUAACUCUGUGCCAGCAGCCGCGGUAAUACAGAGGUCCCAAGCGUUGUUCGGAUUCACUGGGCGUAAAGGGUGCGUAGGUGGCGAGGUAAGUCGGAUGUGAAAGCUCGGAGCUCAACUCCGAAAUGGCAUUGGAAACUACCUUGCUAGAGGGUCGGAGGGGGGACUGGAAUUCUUGGUGUAGCAGUGAAAUGCGUAGAUAUCAAGAGGAACACCAGUGGCGAAGGCGAGUCCCUGGACGACUCCUGACACUGAGGCACGAAAGCUAGGGGAGCAAACAGGAUUAGAUACCCCCGUAGUCC